UACGGGGGGAGCAAGCGUUGUUCGGAUUUACUGGGCGUAAAGGGCGCGUAGGCGGUCGUGACAAGUCACUUGUGAAAUCUCCGGGCUUAACUCGGAAAGGUCAAGUGAUACUGUCGGACUAGAGUACAGAAGGGGCAACUGGAAUUCUCGGUGUAGCGGUGAAAUGCGUAGAUAUCGAGAGGGACACCUGCGGCGAAGGCGGGUUGCUGGGCUGAUACUGACGCUGAGGCGCGAAAGCUAGGGGAGCGAACGGG
rnacentral:rRNA from 1 species